UUUUUUCCACUUCAUCUGUCAAGCAAAAAGAGAUGCAUGAAGAGGGAGUGAGAACUUUCCUUGGGCUGGGCACUGGGAGAUGAGAGGCAGAGAUGACCAUCACAAGCAGGAGAAUUUCUGGUCAAUGAUGCCUAUCCCCAAGAGCCAUGGCCUUUGCAUAAAGAAGCCACAAUAACACCUGAAUCUAGGAUCUGAACUCUUCCAACCUUGUCUUACUUCCAUUAUCUUGGUAUCUCAGCACAGGUUUUUCCCCAACCUCUUUAGUUGUACAAUGAAGACAUGAUCUUGAACCCUCAUACUUCUGGAAAUUUACAU